GGAAACUCUACAAGAUCAAAUCAAACAAGUGAACCCUGUCUUGGAAGCAUUUGGAAAUGCCAAAACCCUGAGAAAUGACAACUCUUCUCGUUUUGGCAAGUUCAUCAGGAUGCACUUUUGUGCCAGAGGCAAGCUGUCAUCUGCAGAUAUCGACAUCUAUUUGUUUGAAAAAUCCCGGGUGAUUUUCCAGCAGCCUGGAGAGAGGAACUACCACAUAUUCUAUCAAAUUCUGUCUGGAAAAAAAGAACUUCGUG